CCGGAAGGAGAGGGACGGUGCACACCCUCAUCCAUGCCGGCUGUUUUAUUUGUGUGCGUCUGGGAAAACUGUUGUCAUUUGGUUCGCAACGUUAGGACACAUCAGGUGUGACUUCAGGGGCUGAUCGCCAAGUGAGUGUCUCUGGUGUGUAGCGGAGCUUGCGAUCGCAAAGUCGCCGGGUGUUGUACUUGGCGGGGGUUGCUGGGAAGGUUUGGGCCCAGCACACCAGGUACGCACAGCGAUAUGUAUUUUUGUCUAAUAAAGCUAUGGCCACUGUGUAAUCGAUGUUGAGGAUAUGGUUUUGUAUUUUGUUUAUUUUGGGAUUAGGGUCAUUUAUUAAGGUGACCAACUAAUGCUUCUAUUUUCUGUGUUUUAGGGAGCCUGGCAGAUUUCCUCUGCUGCUCUUACUGUGUGGGUUUUUGUUUGUUUUCUUCUGUGAUAAUUUUUGUUUCUGUAUUUUGUUUCUAGUCUGCCUGGCAUAUGAGCCGGUAUUUGAGGCAAAAGAUCUUUGGGGUUGCCUCAGUAGGUGGACUAGUUUAUUUUUUUGUUUUUCAUUUUGUUUGUUUUGUUUGUUUUAAUUGUCACCACUUCCCCAGUGCAGCGUCAGGGCGGAGUUUAUUGCAUGCCAAUAGUGUGAAUAUAGUUGAAGUUGCAGUGAUAUUGCAUGCUCUUACAUAGUGUGAUUUAAGUUGCAGUGAUAUUGUGACAAGGAGUCUUUUUACUCCCUUACUGUAGAAGUGUGACACUGAAUUCCUCCUCAGUAAAGCAUCAAAAUACCUGCCCAAGCCAUACUUCCGCCCAUAAGACAUUGAAGUCUGCGGCGAUUAUCUUAUGGUGACUCAUGAAUUUUAUGUUAGUUAAUUUAAUAAACCUUGCCACCUUUUCUCUUUAAAUCUGUUUCUGUGUUUCAUU